GGGGAUGUCUUGGUUUCGACAGGAUUUCGUUGGAUUCAAACGGCAGUGGAGUGGUUACCUUAUAACCAACAAAAAAUAACUGGAAACAAUAACCAAUACGGUUACGCAUACGCUGCUUAAUUUAGCUUAAGACGUAUUGCCCCAUCGAGUGACAUUGUAGUGGGUUACAAAGAUGGGUCUCAGAAUCACUACUAAGCUAAAGCACUGGUCUAGGGUGUGAGGUCGAAAAUUUCACUGGACAACUCAUGGACGGAUUGUUAGAUGCCUAAGACAUGAGUAUCAUUAUCUAACUAAACUGUAGAUGUUUGAAUGGGGACACUUUCUGGACACGAGUUCAAUUCUCGUCAUCUCCACCA
rnacentral:tmRNA from 1 species